AGGAAUCAAAAUCCAAAGAUGAAUCUUUAAGGAAGCUAGAAGAUAACUUACAUAACCUUGAGAGCAAGGCAGAAGGCAGAGAUUAGAGUCUCAUAGAAAUCUACAUGAGAAGAUAAAAAAAUUGAAGGCCAGAUUGAGUUGAAUGCAGUCAUCCACAACCAAUAUGAGAAGCAACUUUGGGAAUUAUCUGAGAGAUUGAAGGGGAGGGAAGAAGUCUGCAGUAAAAUCUUCAGCAAAAGGUCAAAGAGUUAAAGACCAAGCUCAUAGAAUAACAACACUUAGAAUCUGCAUAUUUUCAACAGAAGGAGGAAGUACUUUUGGAGCAACUUAAGAAGUCUAGAUUACAGGGUACACUUCGACCAACUAAGCAAGGAGAAAUGGUACUGGAAAAGUUUGGGCUACCACAGACAGGCUGACAGUGGUCAGACAGUUGGAGAUAUAUACAAUAGCUGUUUUGCUUGCAACCCUAUGUCCUCCACACCCGCCUUGAGAAGAACAAUGCAGAAAUCUCAUUGAGGAGAUCUCAAAAAUCAACUGUCAAAAUUAUCGAAGCGUUGUCUAUGAAUUAAACUUUCAAACUA